CCUAGAAUAUUCCAAUCUAAAUUAACUUCGUUUCAAUAAAUUAUUCUACUCUAUAUAAGCAUUAUAUUUGAUUGUAUAUCUUAUAUAUCAUUUUUAAUUGCUUAUUUUGUUGUUUGUUUUGGAUUUGUACCUAUAAUUUUGCAACGUCUGUCUUUUGACAUGCAAUCAGGUACAAGCUUAGUUAAAAAUCUUAGAACACGACUUGCAUGCUACUCCCUGCUCCAAUCAAUCGUUUUCUUAAAUGCAUAGGUAUCAAAUCAAAUCAAGAAUCAGACACUUCUAAAUCAAACUCUCAAAAGAAAAAGAGAUCGUUUUGCAUACGUUUCAUUCUCAUUUGGCUAUGAAUAAUACAUUAAGUAUAUGCACAAGUUUCA